rnacentral:rRNA from 1 species
UACGGAGGAUGCAAGCGUUAUCCGGAAUGAUUGGGCGUAAAGCGUCCGCAGGUGGCACUACAAGUCUGCUGUCAAAGACUGGGGCUCAACCUCAGAAAGGCGGUGGAAACUGUAGAGCUAGAGUACGGUAGGGGCUGAGGGAAUUCCCAGUGUAGCGGUGAAAUGCGUAGAGAUUGGGAAGAACACCAGUGGCGAAGGCGCUCUGCUAGGCCGGGUCUGACACUCAGGGACGAGAGCUAGGGGAGCGAAUGGG